rnacentral:rRNA from 1 species
UACAGAGGUCUCGAGCGUUAGGCGGAAUCACUGGGCUUAAAGCGUGUGUAGGUGGAUGCCUAAGUACCUUGUGAAAUCCCACGGCUUAACCGUGGGACUGCUUGGUAUACUGGGUGUCUUGAGUCACUCAGGGGCGAGCGGAACAAAUGGUGGAGCGGUGAAAUGCGUAGAUAUCAUUUGGAACGCCAAUGGUGAAAACAGCUCGCUGGGGGUGCACUGACACUGAGACACGAAAGCCAGGGGAGCGAACGGG